GCUUUCGGGAAUGACCCGAGUAAAGUUGAGCUUCAAGGAAAGAGUCAGUAAAGCUUUUCGUGAAUAAGACGUACCUGUAGUUCAGUAGUGCCGUCCUGUUUUUGAUUAAGCGAGUUCUGUAUUUCCGUAAACGCUGAUCCGGAUGUUCCGGCUCGGCACCCUCAUUUUGAUUGAUUUCAGGAAGUUUCCUAUGUCUACUGUUACUGGUACCGUCAAGUUCUUCAACGAAGCGAAAGGCUUUGGCUUCAUCACCCGCGAAAAUGGCCCGGACGUGUUCGUUCACUACAGCGCCAUCCAGGGUUCCGGCUUCAAGACCCUGGCCGAAGGCCAGCAGGUCGAGUUCACCGUGACUCAAGGCCAGAAAGGCCCGCAGGCGGAGAACGUGGUCGCUCUCUAAAUCCCUCGGGAUUCGCGACACAGAAAAAGGCAGCGUACGCUGCCUUUUUUGU
rnacentral:sRNA from 1 species